GGUUUUUAAGAAUUAAAAAUUCACUUCGUUUUGAAAGCGAAGAGGGGGAAAAUAGUAAUUCCCAAAGACCU
rnacentral:tRNA from 1 species